rnacentral:lncRNA from 1 species
UGACUGGGGUCUGUCCCCAUAGUAAUGACUAGCAGUAAGGUUGGCGGGGACUGAGUGUGUCGCAACAGUUACUCUACUUCUGAACAGUACUGCAGCUCCUGGUGAUUGAUUGAUUAAAUAAUGCCUUUGGAAGGGUUCCAGAGGGAAGCAUGUCUGUUACGUGCCUGGAUGCUCUGCAAGGAUGAGGCCCACACACACAGGAGAAAAAAUUCUGUCAGAACAUUGCAGUUCCAUUAAGAAGAAUCAGUGAAACCCAGAUAUUUCCUGAACUGUGGACUCUGAGUCACUGCCUUGAAAUGACUUGGGGAAGAUUGUCAACUCAGAGAAGGUAGAAGGGGAAAGAAUAAAGGUGCUUCUAGUGCCUGGUGGAGAUCGGGG